rnacentral:lncRNA from 1 species
UUUUGUUUUCGGCCUCUCAGGAACUACUCCUAUGCGAGAGGUGCAUAGAGUUGUUUCUUGAUAGAGCUAAACCACUUGUUUGUGCAUUCUUACUAAGCAGUUUAAUUCAAUAGAUAGCAAGUUCGUCAUGGAAGGUGGACUUAUGUACGUACUCAUACCCAAAGCUGUAGACAAGCCUUUUUUUUGUUGCAUAAAAUGGUUAACCUCGGAAAUCCUACACUUGUGAAGUGGCAGGGCGAUAGCAAGGGCGAGCCAAGUUACUAUUACUGGAUUAGGCCUAGGGUGUAUAACAUAAGCAUAACUUGAUGAAUUUGCCUGACAUGUUUUAUUAUUUCUGUCUGUCUCUCGGUAGUUGACCUGUGACAGCGAUCUUCUCUUCAUGUGGUUUUCCGCAGGUUUACAAUUUUGGGGGAGGCGGCUGCUGCAAUGUUUAAAAUUGCCUCACCAGCAGCGGUUGCCUCUGCAGCCACCUACCAAGUACCACUGCAUGCCAACUCAAACCCGUGGAGUCGCAGGAAGAUUUAGCAUCCAGAUCUGGGCACCUGUCGGCCUGCCAAUGGCUCCCAAUUCCUCUCUGGGAGCACUGAAUCCUGUAUGCCUUGGUGACUUCCGCGCGUGGUUGCUGAUUUAAAGAACGUGGUCGGUCUUGUCAUCUUGUGCAAGGAUGCCUACAUGUUUGCAAAUUGCAGCAGUUGCUAUCACUGCCUUGUUCGUCUCAUAUACAGUAGUGGCUCACCUUUGCUAUCAUUGCUGUAGCUUUUGCGCGCCCGUGGUAGGAGUAGGAGAAUCGUAGAGGUUCACCUUUGCUAUCAUUGCUGUAGCUUUUGCGCGCUCGUGGUAGGAGUAGGAGAAUCGUAGAGGUUCACCUUUGCUGGGUGAAGGUCACUGUCACCUGUGUUCAUAUACAGUAGCUGAGCACGUCGAUAGAGUAAAUCUCUUUCUCUUUUCGCCGCAACGUGUUAGAAGCGUGGUAGGAACUGGAGAGCGAGGCCAACGGGCAAAGGAACCUAGGACGUGACGAGAAGCCCAUACUCCUUUUAUCACACGUUCUGGGAAUCUCGGUACGCUUUGGCUGCUUUGUCUAUCAUGGGUAGAGAGUCAAGCGGCGGCUUAGUUCACU